rnacentral:lncRNA from 1 species
CCUUUAGAGGUUAGACCUCGGUUCAGUUAAAAUCUGUGAAUUUCGAAGGAUGGAUCACCAAACUUCUUCAGAAGUCUUUGGAAGGAAUCAAUAAUGGGAUUUCUGCAUAAAAUCAUCGUAUCACACGCCACCCAUGUGAAGACUUAAAAAACACCUCGAAACACCGAGAGGCCAAUCUCCAGCCAUGCCACUGGCAGCAGUCACUUGGAAACAAGUUUUUUUGGGGGCAUUCCGGCUCCUUUUCAUCUUGGCACCUGGGCCUACAGAAGUCAUGGGGGCGCACCAACCUGGUGCUCAUUUUCUAGGAUGCAACCGCAACCUCUUUAGGAAAUCGUUCGAUAAAUGGGUUUGUUUGCGAACAUUUAGUGAUGUGUUUUAGUAACUAUUAGUUUUUUUACAUUUCAGACUCUCGGUUUAAUGCACUAUGUUAAUUAACCUCUGGUUUUUUUUAUAUGACAUAUUUGUAUACAUAUGACAUAUUUGUAUUGUAUUAGGUUCCCAAACUUAUUUACGAUCUAUGGUAAGUUACUUGUGUACACAAGGUAAUAAGCCUAGAAAAUUAGGUUUUGUAUUUUACUAUUGGUUUGAUAUUUAUUUUGUAAUAUUACUUGCUUGUUUCCCAAACAUUUUAUUGUUAUUCGCUUUAUUCCAUUUUUUCGGUUAAUUUAGGUCAUCGUUUCAGUAUUUAUCUCAACUCCAUUCCUAUUUUAUUCAGUGUAUAUUUAACUUGCUUAAUUCAUUUAGUAUUUUCCCUUAGUCAGGCUUGUGCCUAUUUAUUUAUAUCACUUUUUAAUAUUCUUCGGUUUUAAUUUAGUCGUACGUAGCAAGCGUACUAUAACCAUUUGGUAGAAGACUCAUGUGAGUUGUACCCUAUAUGUAAGUAAGAGGUAAUUAUGUAAUUUUGUAACAGGUAACAUUAUUGUUGUUAUUUUAGAGAGGUGUAAUUUUUGUAUAACGUAUGUCAUUUUAAAGUCACAUGAUAUGCACUUUGUGUAACUCCGAGAUUGUCAAAGAUCUAGUAGUCAUUUUUAAUAAAUAUUUACUUAUUUUGUAUA